CAACAGUGUUGCCUUCAAAUGCUGCCAGUAAUUCCCAUACUGAAACGCGAAAGUUUCGCGAAAAUGUGAAAGCAAACAAGUACUAAAUUGGCAUAGUGUUCCAAAGUUGCGUUGUGUGUGUGCUAGGGCAGACAGAAAGGAGCAGACGGCUGAGUUUAUUUAAUUCCACCGAGACAUCUGAUGACGCAAAACUGAAGGCUAGACCGUCCAAUUUCACAGCCGCUCACUUCCGGCCUACCGGGACUUCGGAGGACCCGGCCCACGUAGACCGCGAAGGCCGGGUCCUCAGGUGGAUGCAGGCAGGCUAUGAAUUUGGACACCCCUACAGCUAUACUCAGGGGAUCCAGGAUGAAACUGAAACACCUAGACAAUGUCAGCUGAAGAAGACAGGUGAAAGAGACACAACCAAACACUAAUGUCUAUGUGAAUUAGGCAACUGGGAAGAGACCUGGAUCUCAUUGAGAGGAGGGAAGGAAGAAAAGCAGCUCCUGAAUCCCUGUAGAAAUGCAGAUAAUCUGAAGCUUCAUUUAGGUCUCUCAUUCAUUUUUUUCUUCAUUUAUACCUUUUUUUUUUUAUCUUCACAUGAGUAAAUGCAACUUCAUGUGACCAGCGUAACCCAAAAAUGGAAAUAUAAAGGUAUAUUAGCUAUUUUAUAUAUUACUAAUAAAGCUACGUAUCAAACAUUAUAAGGACUUUGUAAUAACCUCCCUUUCAAAUGCAUUGGUGAAUGCUGUUUGAAGGGUGUGGAUUUGAUUUGCAGUGGGUUCACUUGUAGUGUGGUCCAAUUUUUGAGGCCUGUGGGCCAGACGCAGGUGGAGCAACAUUAAUAGUGACAUAUCAUUGAUCUCCUUUGUCUAAUGUUAGUUGUCGGCUUGUCUGCAAUUUCGGCAUGCUUCCUAAAAUUUGGCUUUGAAAAGUUGCUGCAGACCCGAUCUUGAUUGUUUUUUUUCUACAUGCUAUUAUUAAUGGAGAGUGUCUUCUGGUAGUUCAUGUUCAUUUUUUUGAGGAGACAGUUCCCUAAAAAAUGCCAAAACUUUACCUUUACUCAGCAACUUUAGCAGCAUGUUUGUGCAUGUCACAUCAGUUCUCCAAAUGACAGUGAAAUUGGCGCCUUUCAAAGCUUUCUGCCAGAAUCAAACAAUUUCCUGUACUGCAUCCUUGAAAAGAAUUCUACAUUCUUAUCUUCAUACUUCUUAACAACAAAAACUCUUUACACUGUCUCUCUCGUUCAAGUCCUCAUCGCUAUUGUGACAUUUACUAUAUCUUUGGACCUGUCACACUACAGUAAGAAACCUUCACGCGUGGCAAUUUCCUUCUUUCGGUUGGUCCUGCAAACUUUCCUGACAUGCCUUUUAUUUAAUCUUCAACAACAAUGUUGAGAUGCUUCAGUGGUCGUCUUACAGUUUAUAAACAAUAUAUAUUCCUGAAGUGGUAAAACACGUAAGAUGCUUUUCUAUCUACUCCUGUCUUUGUACGUAGGUCAAGUCAAAAAUGUGUGUCAGGGCAAGACGAUAGAACUGGUUUUGUGUUAGCAGUCUGUAGCCCGCAGCUCCUGCUCUACAUUUAAGGCAGUAGAGUGUAUAAAUGUGGAUAGA